ensembl:lncRNA novel transcript
ACGGGGAGCUGCAGGGCCAUCGGAGGGACCCUAGUGUCUGAGCCGUGUCCUCUUGCAGGAGAGUCCUUCACCGUAUAUGAAAGCCAGGGGGCAGUGCCAAACACGUGGCACCAGGAGAUGGAAGAUGUCAUCAGGCUGGCCCAGAAGGAGGAGGAGAUGAAGGUGAAUCUGCUGGAGCUGCAAGAGCUGGUGUUGCCCCUUGUGGGCAACCAUGAGGGGCAUGGCAAAUUCCUCACCGCUGCCCAGAACCCUGCUGAUGAGCCCACUCCAGGGCCCCCAGCCCCCCAGGAACUGGGGGCUGCCGGUGAGCAGGAUGAUUUUUAUGAAGUGAGCCUGGACAACAAUGUGGAGCCUGCACCAGGAGCGGCCAGGGAGGGUUCUCCCCAUGACAACCCCACUGCACAGCAGAUCGUGCAGCUGUCUCCUGUAAUGCAGGACACCUAGGAGCACCCAGGCUUGCCCAGCAAACCCUGCGUGCCAUUCUUUUACCAGGCAGCCGAGAACAGGGAGAUAAACAUCAUCAUCUUCUAAGAGCUGGUCAAGAAAUUUAAAACAACAACAACAACAAAAAGUUACAGGGUUCAUCUCCUACACAAUUCAUUUACUCCAUUUGAAUGCUAGAGCCACUCACAUUUAUUUGUGUUUCUAAUUUACCGUUUAAAUUUAUUUGUAAAAAGUUAAGGGAGAGUUGGUCUUUCCCUGAUGUUCUUUCUGGCAUCCUUUAGCAUUUUUAUUUUUUACUUGAUAAUUGUAGGUCAUUAGCACGCAUAUCGAGUUUGCCCUUAGGUGGUGGGAAUUCAUACACACAAAGACCCACUAUUUGCACAAAACUAUUCUUGCUGGUUUGGAACAGGCUGCCAUGCUUUUUAAAUGUUAUUGCAGCACAUAUAUUCAUUACAGAAU